ACCGAACCUGUGUAGACUGAGAUCCAGAUGCGGUGACACCUUUCCUCUGCUUAGAAAGCAAAGGUAGAAGGUUUGGUUUGAGAAGAAGGGGAGGGAAGGGACGGGGCUUAAAGCAACACGAUGGAUUUCCGAGACGGUGUUAAAAUGGGGACGCACGAUAGGAAAUGCUUGCGGUUCCUUGGUGAACUUCCAGUCGCGUCGUGAGCUUUUUAGAAGAAUGAGGAAUUGAUAUUCCCCUGUACACCACGGAGCUCACAGACGCCUGCACGUCGAUGCCAUCUUUGCAGCGACCAUAACGAAGGCCACCGCCACUGCCUGUGAAGCCCUGAGGCCAGGGCAGCUGAUGUUUCCCAGCGCCUGAGCCACAUGACCAAAUGCGACAGAGCCGCCUCGUCGGUUCAUUAGGGAAGAAGGCGCAGCUUACACACAAGAGGCCUCAAAAUCAAAGGUCGCCGGGGUCAGACAAGGCUAAAAACCCUGUCCAGCGGUUCUCUCAACAGACUGGCAGCAUCACUCUCUGGAAGAAUGCGAGUCACUGCGUUUGUCUCUUUUCGCAGAGAAAUGAAUGGACCCCCAAAUUCGAGCUGCUUGGCAUCCCAACGGUCACAGAGGCAUUUGGACGGUGUGGAUACAGCUUCACGAUGUGCUCCUUGUAGAAUUUGUGGCUUAGAUUUGGAGGGACGUUUUUCCCUAUCUAGUUUUUAUUGCGAUGUCGUCGACGGGCAAGGCCGUGUUAGCUUUAGGGUUUCAGGUGUGCAGCACAGUGAUUCGCUAUACCUAUGUGUGUGUCUAUUCUUCUUCAGAUUCUUUUCCCUUAUCCGUUAGUACCAAGUGUUCUCGGAGGUUGUUUUCUUCACCCUCAACUCCGUCUCUGUCACCAUCAGCUCUGUUUCCCGCGGGCUUCUGUGGACCCAAGCGGUGCCAGCUUGCGGACAGUGACGUGGCCGUCAGGGGGUUGGCUUCUCCGACGCCCUCUCCUGGAUCCCAGCACAGCCCGUGUGGCUCAGGUAACAGGAGCAGGCCCUUUGGGAGAAGUUACUUGCAGAAAAACCUCAAGUGACUCGAGGCGGUAGUCUCGGUUCUUCCCAAUUCCUCCGCCCCACCCCCAAGGUCGUGACUUGGCCUUCCUGCGCAGGGAGCGGGCUCUGGGCUCUUGUCACCUCCACACCAGCAAGACUGGUCUCUGGACGAGACAACGCCUCCUUCUCAUGGUGCAGGGGGCCUAGGAGAUGGAAUAUUGUCCCGAGUGACAGAGAGGGCACCCAGGGAGCUAAUCGUCUGGCUAGAAAUGGUUGAGAGCAGCUGGUGCUCAUCUGUGGGCCAGACGCCGCAGGGCAGCAUUCUCAGCCUGACCUUGACUGUGGACAUUUGGGUGGAUCAGUUCUGCCUCCGUGUCCCGGGCCAUCUGGCAUGGUGAGCGGCAUUCCCGGCCUCCACCCACCCAAUGCCAGGACCAGCCCUCCCCCUCCCAGUUGUGACAACCAGAAAUGCCUCCAGAAGCUUCUGGAUGUCCCUGGGGAUGGGGGGCACUCAACCCAGCCCCGCACCAGGGCUCUAAGCGUGGGCCGGCAUGGGUCGCCCUCUAGUCUCCCUCCAGUGCGAGGCCUCGCCCCUUCUCCUUGUCCUGGAGACAGGCCAGGCCCUCUGCUGGGCCCCCGCACCUGUUCUCCCUGCUCUCCCUCCAGCCAGUGCCACCCCCCAUCCUGCAGACAGCGCCCCCCCACACCAGCUCGCAAGCCCAGGACUGUCCCUCCCAGAGCCAGGCUCAGUGUGCGCGCAGCAGAGACCCGUCACUUGGACUUGGUGGAAGGUUCUGGGGAGCUUGUGGGUUGUACUUGGAGAGCGAAAUUCCUCCGAAGGUCAAAGGAAGUGAGAAAGCAGGUCAUUCGUGGGCUCCUGCCAUCAGUUUGUGCAGGACGGAGCCUGUCCCACGAGGCUGGGGACAGAGAUGAGGAGGCUCCCGGUUCGAGGAAGCUGCAGGGACCUCUGGGCUUUUCUAGAGUCAUUGCAUCAUUUCUCUCAAUCUUCUUGGAAGGAACAGAGCAUCUGGAGCUGCUGCUCCGGCCCCACGUGGGGGCUCCCAGGCAUCCUUGCUGGGUGGCCUCGGUGGAGGCUGUGCUUCUGGGAGCGUGGGGCCCAGGAGGAGGCCGGCCCCAGUCUGACCCCAGCCCAGCUGCCCCCAGAAGCCCUCCCAGGACAGGAUGGAGCCUCACCCAUGUGGAGGACAGACCCGUGGUUACCGGAGGGGGUGUACAAACUGCUGGGGGUCAGACGGGCCCAAGGACGUGUCCUACAACACGGAAGAGAGCCAGUAUUUUGUGAUAACUGUAAAUGGGAAGCAACCUUUCAAAAUUGUCUAAAAUUUUUUUUUAAAAGGAACUGAGUUCCCCAGGGGAGCCCCGAUUCACAGCCAACCCCGGGUAGGUGCUCUGGUCUCCAGGGCGGGGCCCUCUUGCCUCCCUUCCUGUCCUCAGUGAAGCUGCACCUGCGCGUGUGUUUUGCAGACGAGAGUUAAGGAGGGGACGCUCGUGUAGCUCAGAGCUCUUCCUUUUCAAGUGACCAGGGAGCCCAGCUUGGCUGCUUAAUGCUGGCCCAGUCACUCCAGAUUCUAAAUGUUCCUUUGAAAACACAGUAGUGAGGUCAUCCAUUAAUUUCUCAGUAUUCUAAGACGAUGGAGUGCCUCUCAGGUCCUCAGUAAAAAUCGCUCAGAAGAGGUGGACUUGUGUGCCCAUGGCCCACGCCACCCGCGAGCCGCGCCCACGCUCAUGCCUGGUCAUGUCCAGCUGGCCCGAGCCCCCUGGCUUUUUUUCCUCAGUGGCCUUAGGAGGCCUUGAUGAAAUCCUGAGAAGCAGCGAGGGAGAGCCCUGAUGGUACAGAAAGUGGCAUCCUCAAACAGCGUGGAGACAGCAGCCUUUGAAAACAAACUGAGAAAGAUAAACAAGAACACAAAUCUCCCAGAGCAGGAAAGAAGACGUUGACAUUUUAGAGCCAAUGUGGUAUCAGAAAUAGAUUUUUCAUCUCUAUUUUUCACGUGCCCUUCAGUCUAUAGAUCACAGUUCGGUAAAGCCUGCUCUUCCAUGUCGGUAAAUAAAAGAAUACUAUUACAAGGCGUAAUCAAAGAAAUAAGAAAUAUAAUCGCCACGGAGGAACCCGACUGCUACUCUGGGCCUCGUCUCAGGAAAGGAACAGAUCUCAAGGCAGGAAGAAUUCACAGUUUCUCUCCCUGGUUUGUUAGGUCUCUUGCUGACAUAAAUAGAAACCCAGCUUCUGUGUCCGUGGGACCCGGCACUGCACAAAUCGCAGAGCACAGCGUGCUUUCUGCUCUGAUGCUGCAGAAUAAAUAUGCUGGGUUCUGGAACUCUCAGCCAGAACGCCCUCUCGGGCCGCCAGGGACCCGCCGUGACCAGCACAUGCCCGAGGGGCACUCAGUAUUCUCAGAAUACUGAGAAACCAAGUCUCGGGGAAGAAGGGAGGGGUGGAGUGACAGGGUGGCCGUGCACCGGGGAGUGGCCGCCUUGGGAAACGAGUCCAUGUGGAAUGCACACUAGCAGAAAACACCUGCUUGGCGUCACGCUCUGGAACGGCUGCUGGAUCCCUGGUUUCUAGAACAUUCCCCAGAUAUUACCAUCGGAAGCUACACUUCUGCCUGUGACGGCCUAGAUGCGUCAGGAGCUGCAUUCCGAUUAGUUUCUUUCUUUUACUUUCUUUUUAAAUUUUUUUUUUCUCUUUUUAGGGCACACUCAUGGCAUGUGGAAGUUCCCAGGCUACAGGUCAGUUCAGAGCUGCAGCUGCCCGCCUACACCACAGCCACAGCAACGCCAAUUCCAAGCUGCAUCUGCGACCUACACCACAGCUCGAGGCAACAUCGGAUCCCUAACCCACUGAGUGAGGCCGGGGAUGGAACCUGCAUCCUCAUAGAUACUGGUCUGGUUUAUUACCACUGAGCCACAUCGGGAACUCCCAGUUUCUUUUUUUAAUAACUUUUGUUGGAGUGUGGUU
rnacentral:lncRNA from 1 species